CAGUGUCUGGUGGGUAGUUUGACUGGGGCGGUCUCCUCCUAAAGAGUAACGGAGGAGCACGAAGGUUGGCUAAUCCUGGUCGGACAUCAGGAGGUUAGUGCAAUGGCAUAAGCCAGCUUGACUGCGAGCGUGACGGCGCGAGCAGGUGCGAAAGCAGGUCAUAGUGAUCCGGUGGUUCUGAAUGGAAGGGCCAUCGCUCAACGGAUAAAAGGUACUCCGGGGAUAACAGGCUGAUACCGCCCAAGAGUUCAUAUCGACGGCGGUGUUUGGCACCUCGAUGUCGGCUCAUCACAUCCUGGGGCUGAAGUAGGUCCCAAGGGUAUGGCUGUUCGCCAUUUAAAGUGGUACGCGAGCUGGGUUUAGAACGUCGUGAGACAGUUCGGUCCCUAUCUGCCGUGGGCGCUGGAGAACUGAGGGGGGCUGCUCCUAGUACGAGAGGACCGGAGUGGACGCAUCACUGGUGUUCGGGUUGUCAUGCCAAUGGCACUGCCCGGUAGCUAAAUGCGGAAGAGAUAAGUGCUGAAAGCAUCUAAGCACGAAACUUGCCCCGAGAUGAGUUCUCCCUGAGACUUAG
rnacentral:rRNA from 2 species